GGGGAUUUAGUUCAGUGGUAUAAACGCCUGCCUGGCAAGUAUGAGGUUGUGAGUUCAAUCCCCA
rnacentral:tRNA from 1 species